rnacentral:rRNA from 1 species
UCAUAGAGGGUGAGAAUCCCGUAUUUGACCAUUAUUUUCAGCUGUGUGAUACACUUUCAAAGAGUCGGAUUGUUUGGGAAUGCAGUCCAAAAUGGGUGGUAAAUUUCAUCUAAAGCUAAAUAUUGGCGAGAGACCGAUAGCGAACAAGUACCGUGAGGGAAAGAUGAAAAGAACUUUGAAAAGAGAGUUAAACAGUACGUGAAAUUGUCAAAAGGGAAGCGUUUGACACCAGUGUUGUUUUCUCGAAAAUCAAUUAAAAAAAGUUGGAUUUUGUGUUUGUAUGACCUUAACAGCUUCUUUCACUUUUUUCCUGCUUUUUUUAAUGCACUUUUCGUUUAACAAGUCAACAUCAGUUUCUUUUGUUGUAAAAAGGUCAUUGGAAGGUGGCUUUCUUUUCGGAGAAAGUGUUUAUAGCCUUUGACUCCUGCAAUCGGAGAGACUGAGGUCUGCAGCGUAGAUCCUUCGGGGUUAGAUACAUUUGUGCUAAGUUAUAGCUUUUCAUAGACAACUUGUUGACUAUGUUUAGUCAUGUAGCUUACUCGCUUAUGCUAUUUUACCUACGCUUAGGAUGUUGA